AUGCAUAGAGAAAUAUCGAAGAGGAAUCAGGAAACUAUGUGAGAUUUGAACCUUUUACUUACACUGAAGAUGGUUAUGAACCUAUAUACAGAGGAAAUCUCGAAGCUUGCAAUAUUGGCAAACAAGAGCAGCAUAGAAAACGGCUUCGUUUCUGCGCAAUCUUCAGAAAAAUGAAUUGCUAUGUUACUGCAUCUUCAGCUCUACCCUCCAUGAAACUGUUCAAUGUGCGACACUCACAUGAAGGUGAUUACCAGUGAGGUUUACCCAAUUGAUUUUAGUGAUAAUGUGGGUGCAAAACCAAGAAGAAAUAUAAAAGUCAGUCUGGACACUAAACCAGUUGCUGAAAACAGUGGGAGAACCAUCAGGAAAUCUACAGCACAAUAAGUCAAAGGACAUCUGUUAACAAGAAAGCAUAGACGUAAUUGAGAACGAAAUACAAUAAGAAAUGUUUCAAAUUGAAAAUGCAAUCAUGGUAAUUUCUCGGUUAAGCACCUGACCUGCUCUUCUCGUAAGUAGUAAGUAGACCUGCCAACGGGUGUUUAUAUCUAACAGGUUCAAGUGAUAUUUUCAGACUAGACACAUCAAAUUUCACUAUACAACGAGCAAUAAGCAGUUUAAGUGAAGCAACCAAGUAUUCAUGAAAUAAAAAUAAGUAGAAAAGAGAUAAAACGCAUCAGUUCCAGAAAGAUAUCAACUAAUUGGCGUGAAAAUAAAAAAAAACAGGGAAACAAGGAUAAUGGGGGCAAUAACUCCAAUUGCUGAAGGGAAACUUAGAGUAGUACACGUAAAAUAAACACGAGCAGAAAGAUGAGAAAGUCAUAAGUGUACCAGGCUACCAGCAAUGAACCAGUUAUAUCAGUUGAUGUGGUGGAAGAAGUUCUUGGUUGUGCAUUUUGUGUGAUGUUGAUAAAAGCACCAUGACUGAAGAUAACCCAACCAAAGGAGCCUGAGUUUAAUGUAGCAACGGACGGACAAAUAAAGCUUAUGUAUAUCCCGUUAACUUUCAAUAUCAGACCUGACCCCAAGAAAACCAAAACUCAUGGCUGCGGGAGCUUAUGGCUAUCCCCUAAGAGCAAAGAUAUGAGUUUAAUGGGUUUGAGUGAACAAGUAGUCCUUGAUAGAGCUCAAUGGAGAAAAUGGAUUCAUAUAGCCAACCCCAAUUGAUUGGGACAUAAGACCCGGCUUGGUUUGGUUUAUGUAUUGUAGAGACUAUAAAUUAGUCAAUAACAAAACUACAAAAGUUGAUCUAUUAACAUCUAGUGAUGAACAUAUAAUAAGCAAAAAGGCUUGAAGUACCCAGAAAUUUCACAGGCUUCAUUAAGAGAGCCAAAUAUGAAGACGUGUGACGGAUAACCCAUGUCAAGGCUCAUUGUAUAUAUGAAUUGAAUUGACUCCUACACCCUCUCUGAUAAGUCGCGAUAAUAUUACAGAAGCAAAAUCACCAUAUGUACUUGACUCACACAGUCACACCAGCAAUUGUUUCAAGUAGUUGCCAUUAUUUGUGCUACUAGAAACUUCAACUACUACUCAAGUUCCCCGUUAUGUAUUAGUAUGUCGUAAAUUAUGGCACAAAACAAACCCACCCUCACCCAUGCAUACUUGGAAUGCAAAAAGUUAGUCAUUGGCAUGCAAGUAUUGCAAGUAAAAAGGAAGUAAAAACCCUGGUUUUGGCAGAAAAGAUUUCCAGAAGGUAACAUGCACACGUACACAGACACAAGUAGUUAUGUGUGUGUAUGUCUUGUCUACAAGAGUACACUUGUGCAUUAACAUUAUAAUACCAAGGGGUGAUUUAUGCAUUAACAUUUUUUUUUUUUUGAUAAGUAUGCAUUAACAUUAUAAUAACACGGGGUGAUUUUUGUAUUUGAGAUUUCAAAGGGGAUAUCUGAAGAAAGCAGUAAGUUAAAAGCUCCAGUCGACAGACAAAGGCUCUAAUUGAUGAACAAGUACUUGUGAAUCGGGGAAUUUCUCGCCAUUGUGAGAAGAAAUGAUUCCAGACGAUGAACUCCUCCUUUAAGGUUAUUCUUUGUUGGUAUCUCCAGUUAAUAGAUUAACAAGACAUACUGACCAUUAAUAAAUCUAAUACUUGUAAGAACCUCCAGAGUUCCAGACAGACAUGCGGACUAGAAAACGAACUACUACUACUUCUCCUCCUUUCCCUGCUCUUUUUUGUCUAUGCGAGCAGAUAUAGCUAGACAACACUCCACCUUCAUCAAGAUGCGAAGCGAGAGGGGUAUUCUCACCAUCGUAAUCUUCCUGUUUUGGCUCUUCCUCUCCCACACACUGUAAGUCUUCUCCCUGACCAGC